rnacentral:lncRNA from 1 species
GGGCCCAAAGAUUUCGUUUAUUGAAAUGUAAGCAAAAUGCCGAACAAAGAUAAUAAAUAAAGAACUCGUCGUCUAAGAGACAAACUCGUCGCUGAAUAGUUUCUCUUUAUAUUCUCUCUCUAGUUUCUCCCGGUACUUUUGUGUGUCUUUCUUCAUUGAAUGCUCUUCUAUUUAUAUUCUCCUCGAUCCGCGUUUGGUGCUUUGUGGUUGUUGUGUGUCAGAGAGUCGGUUCGGCGAUCAUCAUUAGCCAUGUUCGUUUUAUAAACUCUGCGACAAGCGUCUGCGUCAAAAAAAUACAGUUAGGGCAGAAGCAAAUUCUUUGGUGUUCUAACUAAAAGCAGCCGCAACUGACAAUUGGAGGCAUGGAAACGGAGUUGCUGCUGCCGCUGCAAUUUUCAGCGUCGUAUUUGCUGGGUUGAACUUGACGCAGCGACUAAAUGGAACAGAUCCGUGUUGUUUUGUUUGUACAGCAUCUGUCGUGGCCAUGACAGUAAUUCUGAGACGCUGCCGCCAAUCUCGGCGUUUAUAAAACGAACAGCACUAUUAUACUAUUGCUUGCGUAGGUUUAUACCUAUGAUCGGUCAUCGGUACAGCCUACGCCUCUAGGCAUCUGUUCCUUGCGUGCGUCGAGGGUUUAUUGAUUCGGUCG